AUGAACGCUAGCGACAGGCCUAACACAUGCAAGUCAGGGGCAGCACAAGGAGCAAUCUGAGGUGGCGACCGGCGCACGGGUGAGUAACACGUAUGCAACCUGCCUGUAAGCGGGGAAUAACCCGUUGAAAGACGGACUAAUACCGCAUAAGUACUAAAUUACUGCAUGGUAAUUUAUUUAAACAUUUAUGGCUUACAGAUGGGCAUGCGCAUGAUUAGCUAGUUGGAGAGGUAACGGCUCCCCAAGGCAACGGAUCAUUAGGGGUUCUGAGAGGAAGGUCCCCACACUGGUACUGAGACACGGACCAGACUCAUACGGGAGGCAGCAGUGAGGAAUAUUGGUCAAUGGACGAGAGUCUGAACCAGCCAAGUCGCGUGCAGGAAGAAUGUCCUAAUGGAUUGUAAACUGCUUUUGCAGGGGAAUAAAGUGCAUCACGUGUGAUGUUUUGUAUGUACUCUGCGAAUAAGGAUCGGCUAACUCCGUGCCAGCCGCUGC
rnacentral:rRNA from 1 species